rnacentral:rRNA from 1 species
AGUGAACGCUGGCGGUAGGCCUAACACAUGCAAGUCGAACGGCAGCACAGUAAGAGCUUGCUCUUACGGGUGGCGAGUGGCGGACGGGUGAGGAAUACAUCGGAAUCUACUUUUUCGUGGGGGAUAACGUAGGGAAACUUACUCUAAUACCGCAUACGACCUACGGGUGAAAGCAGGGGAUCUUCUGACCUUGCGCGAUUGAAUGAGCCGAUGUGGGAUUAGAUAGUUGGCGGGGUAAAGGCCCACCAAGGCGAGGAUCCGUAGCUGGUCUGAGUGGAUGAUAAGCCACAUUGGAACUGAGCCACGGUCCAGGCUCCUACGGGAGGCAGCAGUGGGCAAUAUUGGACAGAGGGCGCAAGCCUGGUCCAGCCAUACCGCGUGGGUGGAGAAGGCCUUCGGGUUGUAAAGACCUUUUGUUGGGUAAGAAAAGCAGCAGGUUAAUACCCCGCUGUUCUGACGGUACCCAAAGAAUAAGCACCGGCUAACUUCGUG